UACGUAGGGGGCAAGCGUUGUCCGGAUUUAUUGGGCGUAAAGCGCUCGCAGGUGGUUCGAUGCGUCGUGCGUGAAAGACCCCGGCUCAACUGGGGAGGGUCGUGCGAUACGGUCGAACUGGAGGCCAGUAGGGGGAUGCGGAAUUCCGGGUGUAGUGGUGGAAUGGCGUAGAGGAUCCGGAGGAACACCAGCGGCGAAGGCGGCAUCCUGGACUGGUCCUGACACUCAGGAGCGAAGCGUG
rnacentral:rRNA from 1 species